rnacentral:rRNA from 1 species
CGGACGGGUGAGUAACGCGUGGGCAACCUGCCCUGUACUGGGGGAUAACACCUGGAAACAGGUGCUAAUACCGCAUAAGCGCGCAGUGCCGCAUGGCGCGGCGCGGAAAACCCCGGUGGUACAGGAUGGGCCCGCGUCUGAUUAGCUGGUUGGCAGGGUAACGGCCUACCAAGGCGACGAUCAGUAGCCGGCCUGAGAGGUUGGCCGGCCACAUUGGGACUGAGACACGGCCCAGACUCCUACGGAAGGCAGCAG